AUACGUAGGAAGCGAGCGUUAUCCGGAAUUACUGGGCGUAAAGCGCGCGUAGGUGGUCUUUCAAGUCGAAUGUGAAAUUUCCCGGCUUAACCGGGAAGGGUCGUUCGAUACUGUUGGACUAGAGAGCGGCAGGGGGAAGCGGAAUUCCCGGUGUAGUAGUGAAAUGCGUAGAUAUCGGGAGGAACACCAGUGGCGAAGGCGGCUUCCUGGGCUGUUUCUGACACUGAGGCGCGAAAGUGUGGGGAGCGAACAGAAUUAGAUACUCUGGUAGUCCACACUGUAAACGAUGGGUACUAGGUAUAGGGAGUAUCGACCCUCUUUGUGCCGAAGCUAACGCUUUAAGUACCCCGCCUGGGGACUACGGCCGCAAGGCUAAAACUCAAAUGAAUUGACGGGG
rnacentral:rRNA from 1 species